rnacentral:rRNA from 1 species
GACGAACGCUGGCGGCGUGCUUAACACAUGCAAGUCGAACGGAAAGGCCCUGCUUUUGUGGGGUGCUCGAGUGGCGAACGGGUGAGUAACACGUGAGUAACCUGCCCUUGACUUUGGGAUAACUUCAGGAAACUGGGGCUAAUACCGGAUAGGAGCUCCUGCUGCAUGGUGGGGGUUGGAAAGUUUCGGCGGUUGGGGAUGGACUCGCGGCUUAUCAGCUUGUUGGUGGGGUAGUGGCUUACCAAGGCUUUGACGGGUAGCCGGCCUGAGAGGGUGACCGGCCACAUUGGGACUGAGAUACGGCCCAGACUCCUACGGGAGGCAGCAGUGGGGAAUAUUGCACAAUGGGCGGAAGCCUGAUGCAGCAACGCCGCGUGCGGGAUGACGGCCUUCGGGUGGUAAACCGCUUUCGCCUGUGACGAAGCGUGAGUGACGGUAAUGGGGAAAGAAGUACCGGCUAACUACGU